UACGUAGGGGGCUAGCGUUGUCCGGAUUUAUUGGGCGUAAAGAGCGUGUAGGCGGCCUGGCAGGUCUGCUGUGAAAACUCGAGGCUCAACCUCGAGACGUCGGCGGAAACCAUCUGGCUAGAGUCCGGAAGAGGAGAGUGGAAUUCCUGGUGUAGCGGUGAAAUGCGCAGAUAUCAGGAAGAACACCCGUGGCGAAGGCGGUUCUCUGGGCAGUUCCUGACGCUGAGGAGCGAAAGUGUGGGGAGCGAACAGG
rnacentral:rRNA from 1 species